CGGUGGCCGGGCGGCCGCGGAGCGCGCCCACCGGCCGGUGCGCGUGCGCACACGCGUUUCCUUCCCUUCCCCUGUGUUUUGCCCUCUCUCUCCCGCAUUUCCUCCUUCGCUCUCCUUCGACGCUCUUCCUUCCCUUUUCCUCCUCUUUCGCGUGCCAGCUGCCAAUCAAGCCACCCACCUCAAUUUGCGGGGGAAGGGGGGCGGGACCUAGCCCCCCUAUUACUAGGGGGGUUGUUAUGGUAACUCCCCACGCGAGGGCUGGACGGCCUCUAGAUAGGAUGGGCUGUCCACCCACCUGAUUGCCAUGGCAACAGUGGAGCCGCCGAGGGAGGGGCCUCAGGGUGGGAAUCUGGCUGGAGAAACCACGUGGGAGUUGGGCGGGGGUGCCGGCUGCCUCCGGAGUGCCCUUUACCCCCUUCCCAGGCUGGGGGACCUCAGAGGGGACGGGGAAUCCUACCGCACCCCUUUGUCUCUGCACCCCUCGUUCUGCGCAAAGGAGCUGUUUCAACAAUUAUUCAUUGAUCGCUGGAGCCGCGGGUGGGGGAAGGGGUAGUAGGGAGAGGAGGAGGAACCCACGUCCAACCUCUUCAAAUCGUGCGCGGGUCACCUUGGGUCUGGUGUUGGCACAGCACCCCUAGCCAUUAGCCUCACGGGAGGCGGGGUGAUGCUGUGAAAAGAAGGAGGAGUCGUGUUCCGCCACUGUCGUGCUGUGUGACCUUGAAGCAAUGAAACCCAGCAGCCGCAACAAUGUUUAACCGGAAACAGCUUCUUGGUGCGUCAAAGUAAAAGAGACCAAGAAUGUGGACCUAACUGCUACGUGCCCCGGGAAGCCCAAACAUUCAUUGGCGCUGGCCUGUGGAACUUUGUGCGGUGAUACAAACGGCCUGUAACUGCUUGAUGUGCUGACCCCUGGCACACGUGGCCACCGAGCACUUGCUAGGGCGGCGUGUGGCAAACGGCGGACGCGCCCCAAAUCUAUAAAUCACCCACUACAUCUCUGCAGCCAGCCAUUUAUGGAAGAAUCAUUCCCAUUUCCCAGCUGGGGCCACUGAGGCCCGGAGAAGCGAUAAGACUUGAGAAGGUCGCCUAGGUGAUGACAAGCCCAGGAUGCGGGCCCAGUUCUUCCUGCCCUGAAGCCUGUACCCUUAACCGUUCCCACAGGGGCUCCCCUACGCCUCUUCCUGUGCUGUCACCGGCGGAACGAGUGAUGGCCCCUCUGAGCCCAGGCCUUCUCUCCUGUGCAGCUGAAGCGGCGGCUCCCAGGCCCUCCAGGCGUCCUGGUGUGGCCCUGCCCUUCCUUCUCCAACACCUCCCCUUCCCAGCAGCUGGG